rnacentral:rRNA from 1 species
GCAUAUCAAUAAGCGGAGGAAAAGAAACCAACAGGGAUUGCCCCAGUAACGGCGAGUGAAGCGGCAACAGCUCAAAUUUGAAAUCUGGCUCUUUCGGGGUCCGAGUUGUAAUUUGCAGAGGGUGCUUUGGUGUCGGCUGCGGCCUAAGUUCCUUGGAACAGGUCAUCAUAGAGGGUGAGAAUCCCGUAUGUGGCUGCUUGUCUUCACCGUGUAAAGCCCCUUCGAUGAGUCGAGUUGUUUGGGAAUGCAGCUCUAAAUGGGAGGUAAAUUUCUUCUAAAGCUAAAUAUUGGCCAGAGACCGAUAGCGCACAAGUAGAGUGAUCGAAAGAUGAAAAGCACUUUGGAAAGAGAGUCAAAAAGCACGUGAAAUUGUUGAAAGGGAAGCGCUUGCAGCCAGACGUGCCCGCAGUUGCUCAUUCCUAGUUCACUCGGAUGCACUCUUCUGUGGGCAGGCCAGCAUCAGUUCAGGCGGCUGGAGAAAGACCUGUGUCAUGUAGCUGUCUUCGGGCAGUGUUAUAGGGCAGGUGGAAUGCAGCCAGCUUGAACUGAGGUCCGCGCAUCUGCUAGGAUGCUGGCGUAAUGGCUGUAAGCGGCCCGUCUUGAAACACGGACCAAGGAGUCUAACAUCUAUGCGAGUGUUUGGGUGUCAAGCCCGAGCGCGUAAUGAAAGUGAACGGAGGUGGGAACCCCUCGGGGUGCACCAUCGACCGAUCCUGAUGUCUUCGGAUGGAUUUGAGUAAGAGCAUAGCUGUUGGGACCCGAAAGAUGGUGAACUAUGCCUGAAUAGGGUGAAGCCAGAGGAAACUCUGGUGGAGGCUCGCAGCGGUUCUGACGUGCAAAUCGAUCGUCAAAUUUGCGCAUA